UACGUAGGGACCGAGCGUUGUCCGGAUUCAUUGGGCGUAAAGAGCUCGUAGGCGGCUGCCUCAAGUCGAAUGUGAAAACUCGAGGCUCAACCUCGAGCCUGCAUUCGAUACUGGGCGGCUAGAGUCUGGUAGGGGGGAUCUGGAAUUCCUGGUGUAGCGGUGGAAUGCGCAGAUAUCAGGAGGAACACCUGCGGCGAAGGCGGGUUGCUGGGCCGACACGUGACGCUGAGACGCGAAAGCGUGGGGAGCGAACAGG
rnacentral:rRNA from 1 species